AUCUUUUUCCUUCACCUUUUAGGAUCUAGCACUCAAUUUAUGUUCUAACAAUAUAUGAAGGAAGGUGAAGAACUUCAAGAACAACAACAACCAUACCAAUAACAAUAACAACAAUCUUCAAGAACAACAACAAUUCCAACGACCAACUCCAAUCGACAACAACAAACGGUCAAGUCUCUUUAGUGUUGUGUCUUUGGUUUUAACAAGAGAUGAAGGUUGUGAAGAAUUUCAAUAACACUACAACAUUCACCAAGAACUACAACAACAACACUCCUUUCAACAACAACAACCACACACAUGGCCAAGUCAAUUUUUUCAACAAUAAUGUCUACCACAUGGUCUUACUUGUUCACGACAACAACAACAAAGCUCAAACUUAGAUAUGGACUCAAGUGUUAGUAAAGAACAAAUCUAAUACUACAAAAACUCAAGAAAAAUAAAAAUCUCAGCCAAGACACAACAAGAAAGCGAUUCUCGGCCAAGAACACAACACGGGCAGGUUGCACUUUUUUUAUUUUUCAGCUUUUCAAUAAUUUUUUUUUUUAAUUUUCUAAUCAAGCAAGCCCAAGAGUGAUAUUGUAGGAACAAUAUUUAGCCAUUCCUUGAUACCAAAUGAUACAAGAAGCACAAGGGAAACACAAAACAAACACCAAAUCAGUCCACAAGUUUGAAGAACCGAGGACCCCUUUGGUGACCACUUUCGGAUUCACCAUAACAACAAUGAAAACAUAAUAACAAGAUAUUGAAGGUGUAAAAUGCACCAAAACAGCAACAAUAUGGAGAGAUGGACAACAAUAACAAGAUAGUAACAACACAAAGUUUUACUAACAAGAGAUAGAAAUGGUUACAAGAACACAAACUACUACAAGAUUACAAUAAAAGUAAAGGGAUAGUUAGAUAGACUUAAUGAAGGUAUAAUCUUAAGAACCCAAGAGAAUAUUCCACUCUUGGACCCUUAACACUAUACACAAUAUUCAUCUAUCUCUUACGAAGACACAAGGUCGAAAUCCACCUCCCAAGCAUCACGUUUCCAAGCCAUGAGAUCAACAAGAGUGAUUCCACACUCUCUAUGCCUAAUUUUGGUUUUGGUGCCUCAAAGAGAGAGGACUUGUGUUUCUUUGUGUUUCAAGACUUAAACAUCAUGAAUAAUAUAAGUCUAAAAGCCCUACAAUAUUCUAUUUAUACUAGGUUACAAAUAAAAUACAAAAUAUCCAAAAUGCCCUUUUAAGAGCUAGGCUCCCUUCAAGUGUAUUUAGGGGCUACAUUUUUGUGUUUAAAGGCUUCUAUUUACAAUUCAAGUGUGAUAUUAGGGUUGGUUUGGUUUGUUUUAAGUCCUUCACUCACACACUCCAAACUCCGGGUUCAUUGCAUUCUCACAUACGUCCAUCUUUGUGGUCGUACUUAUAUCACUUAUGAUCUGAUAUUGUGUGUUGAUCGUGUAUAGGUCUUAUUUGAUCAUUGGUCUUCCUAUCAUGAUAGAAUUACUGUAAUACCCCGAUCAUUCCUUAAGUCUAAAUUAUCAUUUUGAAUGGAUAUGUAUGACUUCCAAAGUGAUUGAUGUUUAAACCAUGUUGUAUUUCUCUAAUUUAUACUUUUUUCAUGUAGAGAAUUGAAUAAUCUUUCCAUUGAUACCAAUUUAAUCAAAAUCCGACAUCGGAUAAGUGAGUUAUGGUCGUUUUACUAAAUGCUAUCGGAUAGCCCAGGUUUGACGGUCGACCUGGUGGACCGCCAGUUCCUUGGUGAACCGUCAAGUGUCCCGUCAAGCCAAGGCAAUAGCUCCUUUUUUGGGAUGUCGUGUGACAGUCAAAGUGGUGGACCGUCACAAAGUUGACGGACCGUCAAGCUGUCCAUCAGACCGAGAUAGAAUGUCUCAUUUCUGGCCCUCAAGGGACGGAUGACUUGGUGGAUCGUCACUUUUCUGAUGGACCGUUAGGUCAACCGUCACGUCUAGGCAGAACGUUCCAGUUUUGGUGUUUGAGUGACAGACGACUUGGUGGACCGUCUGUCCCUCUGACGGACCGUCACAGGCCCCGAUCAACAAAUUUCAGUAUUUUUCAAAAGGGCAUCUUGGUCAUUUUCACUCCUUGUGGCCUUAUAUAUAUAGAGAGAGAGAGAGAGAAGAAAAGAUUAUUUUUCUCUCCAUUUCUCUCCAAAAUUCUUUCAAGAAUUCCUUAGAAACCUAAGGUUUCUUCCAAACCCAAAAAUCAAAUCAUCUCCAAGAAAUUCAAGAAAUUUCCCAUAAAUUUCUUCAAGUUGUUCAAGAACUAAGCUCCUCAAGUCAAAGAUAGCAAGGUCUUGGUCUAAAAGUGUGAGAAAGAAGUUUCAAGCAAGUUUUUAUGUCUUCAAAAUCAAAAUCUAAGGUAUGUGGGGUUUGAACAAGAACACUCCUUUCGUUCUUGUGCCUAAAGGUUUAAUUUCUACUACUGAUUUGCAUGAUUUUGCAAGUGGUUUUACACCCAAAUUUCUUUAAUUAUGAUUUAUGAGAUUUGAGUUGAAUAAGUUUGAUAUUUAUGAUUAUUUCACCAUCAUGUUUCUUAAAUUGAGAAUUUAUUCCAUGAGCUUAUUUUAUAAUUAUGUAUUGAUGAUUUCUAAGCAAUUUAAGUCAAGUUCCAUGAUUUGAAUAUUUUUAUUAUGAAUUGAUGAUUUUUGGAUGAUUUGAGACAAGUAUCAUGAGUUAUGCCUUUCCAUGAGAAAUUCGACUAUUGAAUGUACAUUGAUAUAUGAAAUUGAGAGGCAAUAAUGAGUCUUGUGAUGUUUCCAUGAAGCUUUUGAUAUUUGAAAUGACUUGAUAAAUAAAUGUAUUUGAUGCCGAGAAAGAUUAUGUUGAGUUGAGUUGAGUCGAGUUAGGAAUCCACAAGAUGUUUAUGAUUUACAAAUGAGAUAUAUUUAUGUUUUAGUCUUUAUGAUAGACCCAUGAGUUGAUAUUGAUUGAGGUGGAUUUCCUAACGCGUUCUGAACUGAGUCUGGGAGGAGUAUUUAGCACCGAGGGGAAAAUAUGGUAUUUUCCCAGAACUACGUGCCACUGUAGGAUUGAUGUUGAUGAUUGUGGGCCAAAGGCCGAGUAUGAGAUUGUGAUAUUGAGAUUGAGGUUGUACUCCCUGGAAAGAGUACAACACCCCUGCCAAUGUGGGGUUCUCUCCUUAGGAGGACAAAACGUUGGACUCUAUGCGGCUCACAUGGAGUAGUUAUGUCGGUUAUAAGAAACUCCCACGUCCAUAAUGAUUUAAGACUAUUGAGUUACCGAGUCACUCUAAGUCAUGAGUUAAAGAGUUUGAGCUGAGAUAAAUGAUUUACGAGAUUUAUGAAGUAUGUAUUACCACUGAUGAUUUAUGAGAAAAAUGUUUCAGAUAAUUCAAGCGAAGAGAAUUAUUAUGGUCAACUGACAAUGAUCUUUGAGUACCUUCCUCUACAAUUCUGUAGUUGGUGAGUCCUCAUGGUUCGAGGACCUGUGUCUCCAAUUUUGUCUUGUUAAUAGAUGGUUGUUUACUUUCAGUUCAGUACGAGUCAGUUGGAGAUGUGUCCCAAUGGCUCCUCAAUCUUAUGUAGUAGAGGCUUUGUCAGACUAGUGUACCAGCGUGUACAGAGAUUUAGUAUUUUGUUUGUACAGGGCAGUAUUAUUUCAUGUUUCAGUAUGUUCAUAACAUGGUUAUUCCUUUUUAUCUUAGCAUGAUUUGCUCUAUAAUGAGUUCUGAAAGUGAUGACAAGUUUAGAGGGUUAGCUUGAGACCACGUAUGGCCUUGAGCACCAUAUGACGUCUCUGGAUAGGUUCUUGGGGCGUUACAAUUACCCGAGUUAGGGGAUGAUAUGAUAUUAAUAAUGUCUUACAUGCAUAUUUAUUCUGAUGGUGCCUAAUUAGAGUUGAUAAUAAAGAAUUGUGGACAUAUUGAGUUAAUUUCUGGGAUUACUUAUAUAUAUACGUGUUGGGUGGAUUGGAUAUCAUCAUAUUAAGUUGAUUGUGCACAUUACAUCCUCCUUCUAUGCAUAUACAUUAAUGAGAUACUGGAACCCUUGAGAAACAGUAUUUUUGAAAUAUAAUGAGACAUUUUUAUGGGAAUCUUCAUUAUGAAAAUGAGCUAGAGAUAAAAGUUGAGAUUAAUUUAUGGGAUAUGUAUAUGGGUUAUGCACCCCCAAUGAAUCCUACUUGAUAGAUGUAAGCUCGGUCUGUGGAUACAAAAAUUCAUGCGAUGGCUUUCACAAUUCAUCCUAUCCACAUUGCAUCGCAUUGCACUUCACCUACAUUUUUCAUGUUUUCUUUAGUUCCUUGACUUGUGCUAGUUUCAGUGUAUUUUUGUGUAUAUCCAUGUUGUUUCUACUUCUGUGUGUGUGUGUGUUUAUAUAUAUUGAACUAUUAGUGGAGACGUGUGAGCUACCAUUUGGGACUUUUCUGCUUGCAGGUGACAUGCUCAUAUUAUUAUUAUACUUAUCUUAUUUUCUUCUUUGCUUAGUCGAUCUAUUAUACCUACUGAGUACAAGUGGACCAUACUCACCCCUACUGUGCCCAUUCGCUGCAGAUCCUUGUAUGAGCACCUCAUGUGGUGGUUGAUUUUGUGCAGAGAUUCUAGACUUUGAGGUACUGAUUCACUUCACAGUUCAGGACUGAUUUAGACUCCAUCUAUACCUACUUGUGUUUAUUUUGGUUUUCAAAGACAAAUGUAAACUUUUAGUUUCCAGAUAUUCUACAAGAUUGAUAUUACAUUAUGGUACUAUGUUUUUGGUUAUUUGUGUUAUUUCUCUUAGACUUCCUCUAUUAUUAUAAUUGUACAUGUCUGAUUUUG
rnacentral:lncRNA from 1 species